rnacentral:rRNA from 2 species
UGGGGAAUAUUGGACAAUGGGGGGAACCCUGAUCCAGCCAUGCCGCGUGUGUGAAGAAGGCCUUAUGGUUGUAAAGCACUUUAAGCGAGGAGGAGGCUACUGAGACUAAUACUCUUGGAUAGUGGACGUUACUCGCAGAAUAAGCACCGGCUAACUCUGUGCCAGCAGCCGCGGUAAUACAGAGGGUGCGAGCGUUAAUCGGAUUUACUGGGCGUAAAGCGUGCGUAGGCGGCUUUUUAAGUCGGAUGUGAAAUCCCCGAGCUUAACUUGGGAAUUGCAUUCGAUACUGGGAAGCUAGAGUAUGGGAGAGGAUGGUAGAAUUCCAGGUGUAGCGGUGAAAUGCGUAGAGAUCUGGAGGAAUACCGAUGGCGAAGGCAGCCAUCUGGCCUAAUACUGACGCUGAGGUACGAAAGCAUGGGGAGCAAACAGGAUUAGAUACCCUGGUAGUCCAUGCCGUAAACGAUGUCUACUAGCCGUUGGGGCCUUUGAGGCUUUAGUGGCGCAGCUAACGCGAUAAGUAGACCGCCUGGGGAGUACGGUCGCAAGACUA